rnacentral:sRNA from 1 species
AUUGCUAUCCAUAAUUCUAGGCUAAGUAAAUUAAAUUCAUCUUCUUUGGGGUUAUGUACUUACACGUUUUUACAAUAAAAAAACAGACAGUAUUUUGAAUAAGUACGUCAGAACAUAAAUUUAAAGCUCAUGUGAAACUUACUUUAUGUAAAAAGCUUAUAAUUUACUAAUAAGAUCAAUGAUUACCCAAAUGAUAAAAGUGCCUGGUAUUCAAUGUGUUUCUCUAGUUAUCAAAUAACUUGUAAUGUACUUAUGUAUAAGAUGUGUUGCUGUUGCAGUUUCUUGCCAUUUCUUCUCCAGCUAUAACACCUUGCGGAAUGACGUAGUUUCAAAAAAUAUUAAAUUGACCUUCAAUAAGUUUAUCUAUGAUAAUUACGUUGAACAAACGAUUCUGAUUCUGUCUUUGUCCAUGACAGGCGUUCGACCACGGUACUCCUCAGCAGA